CAAAAUAUUUUAACACCAGUUACCAAGGGAUAUUGGCUCACAAAUAAUACGCUAUUUUAUUACAGUCUGCACUCAGUCACUAAUUCGUGGAGAUACUGUACGACUUCGAAGCGUAUGUAUCCGACAACAGCACUUAUUAUAUACCCUGAACAAAAUUUGUUAAAAACCGGAGCGGUCCUUGGUGAUUAGCUUUCCAACAAUUCUCUAGCAACAAUACAAAUUCAACACGAAGCAGACCAUAAGGUGAGUAUAAAUUUUAGUUUGGACGUAAGCUUAUGUCAAGUACUAUUCAUUAAAUCUACUAUAAUAAUGUGAUCUACAUUAUAUUAUGAUUGGAAAAACUCUCUUAGAAUGCCAGAUGGAUAAAGAAUAUACAUAACAUUCCGUUAUUAGUCAUUGCUAGAUUAACUACAUCGCCUCGGUUGGCUAAUUUAUUUUGCUACAUUUCGCCAGGUGGAAAUAAAGCUAUAAAGGGACUGGCAUCCUAAAUUUCUUGCUAGAACAUCUCAACACUUUGCACCUGUUUCAAGUCUCUGUUAAGAACCAUUUCUCUUCGCAACACUCUGUUAGUUGCCAUGUAAAUAUUUAUCUCUUCUAGACGUAUUUCGACAAAUAAUUAAUUUUUCAUUGUGAUUUUAGCCAAUACUCAACCUUUUAAAGCCUCUUAACUCGCAAAAAGGCAAUUUUCGUUGGGAUGAGUUAAUUACCCUAAUAAAAUGUUUGGUAUAAUCCAUAGUAUGCUUACUUCUAUAUGUUUUUGUAUAAAAAAUACAAAACAAGUGUAACUCCAAAGAUCGAUAACAUUUUCAUAUUUAUCUACGUUUCGACUAUAUUUCAGUCAUCAUCAGGAUAAACUAGAUAGGUUAUACAUCAAAAGCAGUAUAUGAAGAAAUAUGAUACAGUCAUUAGGUUGAUUAUUUGUGAAUUAAUCAAAUAUGAUUAGUUCUUCAGAAGCUUUAAUUCCAUUCAUAUUAAGUUCAAGUUUAUAUCUUUGGAUAGCAAGGGAUUCUUGAUACAGCAAAAGGAACCAAUGGUUAUAGAUUUAUCAAUUACUUUAGUAUUGCGGAAAACAUGUUCAGCCAUUAUACUGGUUUAAUUAGACUUUGCGUCAUCGUCGGGAUAUAGUUUUAAAAGGGCUUUAAUAUGCUGAAACUGCUCGCAAGUAGAGAGGUGUUGAUAGAUUACAGAUUCUGUGUGAUAUGAGUGUUCCUUAGUUCUGGUGUAUAAGCAGCGGUCAGUUUUGCCGAUGUACCUAUACUAUUACAUCCAGGGCAAGUAAAUUCAUAGACGACGACAGAGCUUUGAUAAGUUUUCGAGGUUUUAUCUUUGCAUGAUACAAAUACGUUGCUGUCAAUGGUUCUCCAGAUAAUAAUGAAUCGGCAUUUUGAUGCGAGAAGAGGGGUUAUUAUGACGGAAUUUGAGAGUUGUUAAUAUAACAUAAUCAUUAAUUCAGGACUAAUAAGAUUUUACAAACGUUACGUUCACGACACCCUUAUCUUCAUGAGACCAUCUGACGUACAACUAAUUCUUACUCAGUUUAACUCUUUCCAUCCUAACUUACAAUUUACCGUGAAAAAAUUCAGCGACAAUGACAUCCAUUUCCUCAGUUGACAUCCACAUUCAUCCCUCUAGAACUUCUGUCUAUAGAAAGCCGACUCAUGCGGGUCAAUACUCCCACAUAUCAAGCUUCACACCAUAGUCAAGAAAAAUUGCUUGGAUCCGAGUUCUCAUAAAUCAUGCCUACAAAAUUCGCAGUAAUGCCACUCCCCCGAACAAUGAGUUAAACUACUAAAAUCUGGUUACAGCUACUAUAUCUUGGCAAAUUUGGUGAAAGACUAACUCGUUCGUUGAUGCGCAAAAUAACCCCUUUCUUCACAUCAAGAAUCCCUGGGUAUUCAAAGAUAUAAACCUGAACUUAAUUAAUUAAUCAGGGAAUUAAAGCUUCUAGCUAGAACUAAUCAUAUUUAAUUAAUUCAUUCAUUAAGAAUCAACCUAAUGACUGUAUCAUAUUUCUUCAUAUAAAUACUGUAUUGCUUUUGAUGUAUAACCUAUAGCUAGUUUAUCCUGACGAUGACUGAAAUAUAGUCGAAACGUAGAUAAAUAUAAAAAUGUUGUCGAUCUUUGGAGUUACACUUGUUUUGUAUUUUGUUUAAAUACUCAGUGGUUCUAAAAAUGUAUAUAUAGGUCUACACACAAUUCAAUGAAUCGGAGUUUGUCAUAGUCAGUUCACAUAACCCCAAGCGUCAUGGACUUACCUGAGG